AAGUCGUAACAAGGUUUCCGUAGGUGAACCUGCGGAAGGAUCAUCAAUGAAAAAAUCCAGCCAAAACACUUGGGCAUUCUAGCCUGGUUGGUUGUCAUUUUUGACAUCAAGUAGGUCUAAGUUUUUUUAGACCAGGGAAUUGACGGAAAAAAAAUUAGACCAGAAAUUGGUCAAGGUAAACUUUCAGGUUCAAGUUUAACUCUUGACCUGAUAUUUACACUAGAAAAAAAACAACUUUCGGCAACGGAUCUCUCGGCUCUCC
rnacentral:misc_RNA from 1 species